GAUAAACGCUGGCGGCGUGCAUGAGACAUGCAAGUCGAACGGACUUCUCGGGCUUGCUCGAGAAGUUAGUGGCGGACGGCUGAGUAACGCGUAGGUGACCUGCCCCGAAGUGGGGAAUAACUGCCCGAAAGGGUGGCUAAUACCGCAUGUGAUCGCUCAUUCAUUUGUUCGAUCAAAGCAGUAAUGCGCUUCGGGGAGGGGCCUGCGUCCGAUUAGCUCGUGGUGGGGUAAUGGCUCACCAAGGCGACGAUCGGUAGGUGGUCUGAGAGGACGAUCA
rnacentral:rRNA from 1 species